CAAAAACAUCUCUUCUUGACCACAAAGACAAGAAGUAGUCCCUGCCCGGUGACCUAGCGGUUAAACGGCGGUUAGUUCCUUAAAGUAGCAUAAUGAGUCGGCCUUUAAUAGGGGUCUAGUAUGAAUGGGUUGACGUCGGAGCAACUUUCUUACGGGAGAACCCUCAAAUUUACUUCCCAGUCAAAAGGCUUGAUUAAUAUUAAAAGACGAGAAGACCCUGUCGAGCUUGUUGACUUGCUUUGCAUCCGCGGAAAUAGUAGAUUUGUUGGGGCAACAGCGGAGAAAGUUAAACCUCCGUUUAUUUAGGAUGUAGGUCCUUCAUUUGUGGAGAUAAGAAAUAGUUACCGCAGGGAUAACAGCGCGAGACUACCCGGAAGGACGUAUUUAGGGUGGUAGUUGCGACCUCGAUGUUGGAUUAGGGUAUCUCCUUGGCGCAGCCGCUUAGGUGGAAGGUCUGUUCGACCUUUAAAACUCUACAUGAUCUGAGUU
rnacentral:rRNA from 1 species